GAAAGCCGUAUUCGAUGAAAGUCGUAUGUACGGCUUGGAAGGAGAUCUUUCCUAUCUUUCGAGAUCCACCCUAC
rnacentral:ncRNA from 1 species